rnacentral:rRNA from 1 species
CUACGGGCCGCUGCAGUGGGGAAUAUUGGACAAUGGGCGCAAGCCUGAUCCAGCCAUGCCGCGUGUGUGAUGAAGGCCUUAGGGUUGUAAAACACUUUUACCAGGGAAGAUGAAGACGGUACCUGGGGAAUAAGCUCCGGCUAACUUCGUGCCAGCAGCCGCGGUAAUACGAAGGGAGCUAGCGUUGUUCGGAAUUACUGGGCGUAAAGCGCGCGUAGGUGGAUCUGCAAGUCAGGGGUGAAAUCCCGGAGCUCAACUCCGGAACUGCCUCUGAAACUGCAAAUCUUGAGUCUCGGAGGGGAUGGUGGAAUUUCUAAUGUAGCGGUGAAAUGCGUAGAGAUUAGAAGGAACACCGGUGGCGAAGGCGACCAUCUGGACGAGUACUGACACUGAGGUGCGAAAGCGUGGGGAGCAAACAGGAUUAGAUACCCUAGUAGUC